rnacentral:misc_RNA from 1 species
UAACCUUGUUUGACCAUUGAU